rnacentral:tRNA from 3 species
CGGAAUAUGGCGUAGUUUGGUAACGUAUUUGCUUUGGGAGUAAAUGAUCAAAGGUUCAAAUCCUUUUAUUCCGA